GUGGGGUGAGCCAUCAGGGGUUCACACUCCCAGGCCUGAUUAGGUCAGAGGGUGCCUAAGAUUAGAAAAAGAGCAACUCAAAGCUGCCAUGCUGAACAGCCAAAGAAUCCAUCCUCUCAACAAAAAAGUUCCUACACUUCCAGUCUUGAAAUAAGAACAGUACCCAGAAAUGGUCUGGGUUUUUCCCCCUGUGAGAUGGUAUUUUUUGGCUUAUCAUAUAAGGAAGGGAAAGGGAAAAAUGCCCUCUCUUGAAAAAAAGUUUUAAGGAAUUAUAUCCUGGCAGUGUGUCCUUAUCCUUUUCAUCACCCAGGAAGCAAGAACUGCUGACCCAGACAACACCUUGGGAGUCUGCACUUCCAGGAGAUUGAGUGCCUUUGAAAUCUUGGAAGGUUUGAAGUGGGAAGGACCUUAUCGGAUGUUUCGAUGACUGAGACUGCAGUGUAGAGACAGAGAAGAUAUAGACUCAUUACACCAAGGUUAGAAGGACUUGUGAAGGAACCUCAAGAUAUGGCUUAAGGACAAUUUUUAACCUCAAAAAUUUGACUUUGCAUAAGGGAAAUUAAAAAUGUUUUGGUGAUGUCAAAAGAGCACAUCCCACAGAAAAAUUCCAAGAGUAGUUGUGGUAAACAGGAAGGAGCAUCAAGAUCAUCCUUCCUAUGGGACCCUUGUUGAUUGUCCUAUUUGAAUGUUUCCUGGAUCUACCUUGUCAGCCCUAGGGAAAAAAGUUUAUGUACUAAUAGUUUCCAAACAAUAAAUGGGUUUAUUGAUCAUCUAUAAUUUUGUUGUGUAAAGAUGAUUUGUUAUGUUUACCUCUAUCAGAAUGAAUUUUAUUA